rnacentral:rRNA from 1 species
GACGAACCGUGCGAACGUUAUUCGGAAUCACUGGGCUUAAAGCGUGUGUAGGCGGAUCGUUAAGUACCUUGUGAAAUCCCACGGCUCAACCGUGGAACUGCUGGGUAUACUGGCGAUCUUGAGCCACCUAGGGGCGAGCGGAACAAGCGGUGGAGCGGUGAAAUGCGUAGAUAUCGCUUGGAACGCCAACGGUGAAAACAGCUCGCUGGGGGUGUGCUGACGCUGAGACACGAAAGCCAGGGGAGCGAACGGG